GAGUUUGAUCGUGGCUCAGAUUGAACGCUGGCGGCAUGCCUUACACAUGCAAGUCGAACGGCAGCACGGGAGCUUGCUCCUGGUGGCGAGUGGCGAACGGGUGAGUAAUGCAUCGGAACGUAUCCUGGAGUGGGGGAUAACGUAGCGAAAGUUACGCUAAUACCGCAUAUUCUGUGAGCAGGAAAGCGGGGGACCUUCGGGCCUCGCGCUCUUGGAGCGGCCGAUGUCGGAUUAGCUAGUUGGUGAGGUAAAGGCUCACCAAGGCGACGAUCCGUAGCAGGUCUGAGAGGAUGAUCUGCCACACUGGAACUGAGACACGGUCCAGACUCCUACGGGAGGCAGCAGUGGGGAAUUUUGGACAAUGGGGGCAACCCGUGAUCCAGCCAUGCCGCGUGAGUGAAGAAGGCC
rnacentral:rRNA from 1 species